rnacentral:tRNA from 1 species
GGGGAUUUAGCUCAGGGGUAGAGCGCUUGCCUAGCAAGUGCAAGACCCUGGGUCCAGUCCCCA